ACACCGAUGGUGAAGUGGUUAUCAUGCUUGCCUUCCAAGAAUUUGUAUAAGCAAGCGGCAGGGGUUCGAUUCCCCUUCGGUGUA